AGUCCCAGUCUGACUUACCUCCAGAAGUGAUAGAAAAGUAGAGGGACAUUCAGCCCCAGCGUGAGCCACUCUUGCGCACACAGGAACAUAAUGCAGAAGAGGCUAUGGAUGGAGUAUUCUGGCAGCACCAGCUGAAGAGGGAGCAGAGACACGGCCCUGAGUUAGAGGAGGAAAACGCCACUCCUGCUUCUAUGGCAGCUGACUUCUGCCUGGACACUGCCUCUCACAGACGGUUGACACAAAGGCCCUCCCUGCAGCAACGUAGAGCCACUGCCCCAACACAGAUCCAUUUCUGGUGGCUUCUCUAGAUGACCUCUUAUGCCUAGAACACUGAACAGGAUCCUUACAAGUAGAAGAGGCUCCUCCAAUUAAUCCAGAGACUUUUAGGAGUGACAGUGACCUUUUGAUACACACACUGAUCCUUGCCUACUUCACCAGCUGCUUCUUGUCACAAUGAUGUGGAAGAGGUAAGGAACCUCUUCCUUCUAGACCAAAUGGAAAUCAGCCAGGCCAUUUGCAUGAGGCCUGCACCAUAGCCAUUAUGGCUGCCUCCACUCACACCCAGCACUCAGCCUUCUGGAAGGUGGUAAGGUCUCAUUUUCCAGCUCUCAGGGGUUGGGGCUGCUGAUGGGCUGUGGGCAGAAGUGAUGUGGAGAGAAGGCCAGACCACUUAACGGCUGAUACAAAAUUCUCCAGAGUCUCUUUUCCUUUUCCUCUGACAAAGCAAAAAGCAUUUAGGAUGGUGGGUACUCCAUCAUCCUGAAGCCACAAGUAAGGAAAGAGGCCCCCAGGCAACUCAUGAUGGACUAGAGUGUGAGCAGUAAAGAAACUUGUGUUGUUUUAAGCUGCCAAGAGUUGAGUGUUGUUGUUGUUGUUGUUGUUUUGCCAUAGCAUGAUUUAACCUAUCUCAUAUGAUACCAUCAGCAAGCCCCAGACUGAGUAAUCAAUGGGAAAAGCAAAGUUGUGCUCUUCACUGUUUAUCCUCCCCCAACCAUCCACUCAGCCCUUCCUUAACAAGCCAUCGAGGCCGGCAGGACACAGCUCCCUGUCACCGGACAUGCUCGGGCAGGGGCUGAAUAACCACCAGGCAGGCAUAAUGCUCAUUCAUUUGUGUGGGCAGUCAGACCAGGCGUUCCCUCCCAACUCUGAGAGUGUCUGUUAUAUAAGGACCACCCCUAAAGCUUCUAAGCAAAAUACAGAGAUGCUGAUGCAAGCGCUCACCACAGCCCCAUGACCCUGAGUCAUCCCUUAGCUUUGGAAAACACUUUUUUUUUUUUAAUAAGAGAAGCUGUUGAAUGGUGCCAAUCUCAUUCUUUCAACAAAUGGAGAAACUAUUUCAUGCAAGCCACAGCCUAUUGAAUUGCCAUGUAUUAUUACCCUGCUUUCUAGAGUCAUAAAUCCUAAAUCUCAAUAUAAGUAUUGUGGGAUUACUGAAAGACUGCAAUUCAUUCCAACCAGGGGGAUCAUGGAAGGUUUGUGAUCAAAGGGAAGUUGGAAAGGGCGAGUAAAACCUAAUCACUUAUGGGAACCAGAGGUCGGCAUCCUAGAAGUGGAACAGUGAAAGCAAAAGCAUAGAGAGAUGGAAGUCACUGGUCUGGGGUGGCUCCUUAACAAGGCCACCUCAAAGGGCCCCUAUUAAAGGACAUUAAUGAUAACCGGUAAGGACUGUGUAAACGCUAACUGUAUUCCACCUGUCCUGACUUCCUACCCAGAUGCUAAUAGUCAAUUUUCAUUUGCUGGCAAACAUUUCCACCUGGAUAUCCCACAACCACUUUGUGCUGAAAUUCACAUUCCUAUCAGUACCUGCAAACUUUAUCUCCUAAAUUUCCAACUUCUACUAACCAUACCAUCUCUGACUCCUUCUUCUCAUCAGUCUCCAUGUAAGUCUGUUUCCAAAUCUUGCUUCUUCACAGCCACUUGCAUUUGUUCCUUCCUUUUUAUUUAUCCUGCCCCUGGACCUCCUCUCCAGGCUGGUGCAAGAACCUUCUAGCAGGUUUCCAUCCCUGCACACAUGUGCCCUCCACCCAACAGAGCAGUAUAUGCCAUGCUCAGCUCAGCUGUAAGCCAUUGUCCACAAUCUUGUUUUUCCAGGAAUUUUACUUGUCUGCAUUCUAAAUAUUUUAUUUCUAGUUAUGUAUCCUCUCAUUCAUUCAUGUAUCCAUUUGUUUGCUGUUUUAUCCCAUCAAUGACCUGCAGCUGAUUGGUACCCUUUAUAGAUUAUGAAAACAAUAGAAUCG
rnacentral:lncRNA from 1 species